GAUGAACGCUGGCGGCGUGCCUAAUACAUGCAAGUCGAGCGAACGGACGAGAAGCUUGCUUUUCUGAUGUUAGCGGCGGACGGGUGAGUAACACGUGGAUAACCUACCUAUAAGACUGGGAUAACUUCGGGAAACCGGAGCUAAUACCGGAUAAUAUUUUGAACCGCAUGGUUCAAAAGUGAAAGACGGUCUUGCUGUCACUUAUAGAUGGAUCCGCGCUGCAUUAGCUAGUUGGUAAGGUAACGGCUUACCAAGGCAACGAUGCAUAGCCGACCUGAGAGGGUGAUCGGCCACACUGGAACUGAGACACGGUCCAGACUCCUACGGGAGGCAGCAGUAGGGAAUCGUCCGCAGUGGGCGAAAGCCUGACGGAGCAGCGCCGCGUGAGUGAUGAAGGUCUUCGGAUCGUAAAACUCUGUUAUUAGGGAAGAACAUAUGUGUAAGUAACUGUGCACAUCUUGACGGUACCUAAUCAGAAAGCCACGGCUAACUACGUG
rnacentral:rRNA from 1 species